rnacentral:tRNA from 1 species
GCCUGGAUAGCUCAGUUGGUUAGAGCAUGGCGCUGAUAAUGCCAAGGUUGUAAGUUCAAUUCCCAUAUGGGACA